rnacentral:rRNA from 1 species
AUAGGUUAAUGAGGCGAACCGGGGGAACUGAAACAUCUAAGUACCCCGAGGAAAAGAAAUCAACCGAGAUUCCCCCAGUAGCGGCGAGCGAACGGGGAGGAGCCCAGAGCCUGAAUCAGUGUGUGUGUUAGUGGAAGCGUCUGGAAAGGCGCGCGAUACAGGGUGACAGCCCCGUACACAAAAAUGCACAUACUGUGAGCUCGAUGAGUAGGGCGGGACACGUGGUAUCCUGUCUGAAUAUGGGGGGACCAUCCUCCAAGGCUAAAUACUCCUGACUGACCGAUAGUGAACCAGUACCGUGAGGGAAAGGCGAAAAGAACCCCGGCGAGGGGAGUGAAAAAGAACCUGAAACCGUGUACGUACAAGCAGUGGGAGCCUCUUAAUGGGGUGACUGCGUACCUUUUGUAUAAUGGGUCAGCGACUUAUAUUCUGUAGCAAGGUUAACCGAAUAGGGGAGCCGAAGGGAAACCGAGUCUUAACUGGGCGUUAAGUUGCAGGGUAUAGACCCGAAACCCGGUGAUCUAGCCAUGGGCAGGUUGAAGGUUGGGUAACACUAACUGGAGGACCGAACCGACUAAUGUUGAAAAAUUAGCGGAUGACUUGUGGCUGGGGGUGAAAGGCCAAUCAAACCGGGAGAUAGCUGGUUCUCCCCGAAAGCUAUUUAGGUAGCGCCUCGUGAAUUCAUCUCCGGGGGUAGAGCACUGUUUCGGCAAGGGGGUCAUCCCGACUUACCAACCCGAUGCAAACUGCGAAUACCGGAGAAUGUUAUCACGGGAGACACACGGCGGGUGCUAACGUCCGUCGUGAAGAGGGAAACAACCCAGACCGCCAGCUAAGGUCCCAAAGUCAUGGUUAAGUGGGAAACGAUGUGGGAAGGCCCAGACAGCCAGGAUGUUGGCUUAGAAGCAGCCAUCAUUUAAAGAAAGCGUAAUAGCUCACUGGUCGAGUCGGCCUGCGCGGAAGAUGUAACGGGGCUAAACCAUGCACCGAAGCUGCGGCAGCGACACUAUGUGUUGUUGGGUAGGGGAGCGUUCUGUAAGCCUGUGAAGGUGUGCUGUGAGGCAUGCUGGAGGUAUCAGAAGUGCGAAUGCUGACAUAAGUAACGAUAAAGCGGGUGAAAAGCCCGCUCGCCGGAAGACCAAGGGUUCCUGUCCAACGUUAAUCGGGGCAGGGUGAGUCGACCCCUAAGGCGAGGCCGAAAGGCGUAGUCGAUGGGAAACAGGUUAAUAUUCCUGUACUUGGUGUUACUGCGAAGGGGGGACGGAGAAGGCUAUGUUGGCCGGGCGACGGUUGUCCCGGUUUAAGCGUGUAGGCUGGUUUUCCAGGCAAAUCCGGAAAACCAAGGCUGAGGCGUGAUGACGAGGCACUACGGUGCUGAAGCGACAAAUGCCCUGCUUCCAGGAAAAGCCUCUAAGCAUCAGGUAACAUUAAAUCGUACCCCAAACCGACACAGGUGGUCAGGUAGAGAAUACCAAGGCGCUUGAGAGAACUCGGGUGAAGGAACUAGGCAAAAUGGUGCCGUAACUUCGGGAGAAGGCACGCUGAUAUGUAGGUGAAGCGACUUGCUCGUGGAGCUGAAAUCAGUCGAAGAUACCAGCUGGCUGCAACUGUUUAUUAAAAACACAGCACUGUGCAAACACGAAAGUGGACGUAUACGGUGUGACGCCUGCCCGGUGCCGGAAGGUUAAUUGAUGGGGUUAGCGGUAACGCGAAGCUCUUGAUCGAAGCCCCGGUAAACGGCGGCCGUAACUAUAACGGUCCUAAGGUAGCGAAAUUCCUUGUCGGGUAAGUUCCGACCUGCACGAAUGGCGUAAUGAUGGCCAGGCUGUCUCCACCCGAGACUCAGUGAAAUUGAACUCGCUGUGAAGAUGCAGUGUACCCGCGGCAAGACGGAAAGACCCCGUGAACCUUUACUAUAGCUUGACACUGAACAUUGAGCCUUGAUGUGUAGGAUAGGUGGGAGGCUUUGAAGUGUGGACGCCAGUCUGCAUGGAGCCGACCUUGAAAUACCACCCUUUAAUGUUUGAUGUUCUAACGUUGGCCCGUAAUCCGGGUUGCGGACAGUGUCUGGUGGGUAGUUUGACUGGGGCGGUCUCCUCCUAAAGAGUAACGGAGGAGCACGAAGGUUGGCUAAUCCUGGUCGGACAUCAGGAGGUUAGUGCAAUGGCAUAAGCCAGCUUGACUGCGAGCGUGACGGCGCGAGCAGGUGCGAAAGCAGGUCAUAGUGAUCCGGUGGUUCUGAAUGGAAGGGCCAUCGCUCAACGGAUAAAAGGUACUCCGGGGAUAACAGGCUGAUACCGCCCAAGAGUUCAUAUCGACGGCGGUGUUUGGCACCUCGAUGUCGGCUCAUCACAUCCUGGGGCUGAAGUAGGUCCCAAGGGUAUGGCUGUUCGCCAUUUAAAGUGGUACGCGAGCUGGGUUUAGAACGUCGUGAGACAGUUCGGUCCCUAUCUGCCGUGGGCGCUGGAGAACUGAGGGGGGCUGCUCCUAGUACGAGAGGACCGGAGUGGACGCAUCACUGGUGUUCGGGUUGUCAUGCCAAUGGCACUGCCCGGUAGCUAAAUGCGGAAGAGAUAAGUGCUGAAAGCAUCUAAGCACGAAACUUGCCCCGAGAUGAGUUCUCCCUGACUCCUUGAGGGUCCUGAAGGAACGUUGAAGACGACGACGUUGAUAGGCCGGGUGUGUAAGCGCAGCGAUGCGUUGAGCUAACCGGUACUAAUGAACCGUGAGGCUUAACCUU